rnacentral:rRNA from 1 species
AGAGUUUGAUCAUGGCUCAGAUUGAACGCUGGCGGCAUGCUUUACACAUGCAAGUCGAGCGGCAGCGCGGGGGCAACCCUGGCGGCGAGCGGCGAACGGGUGAGGAAUACAUCGGAACGUACCCCGGAGUGGGGGAUAACCCAGCGAAAGUUGGGCUAAUACCGCAUAUGCUCUGAGGAGGAAAGUGGGGGAUUCGCAAGAACCUCACGCUCUGGGAGCGGCCGAUGUCCGAUUAGCUUGUUGGUGGGGUAAUGGCCUACCAAGGCGACGAUCGGUAGCUGGUCUGAGAGGAUGAUCAGCCACACUGGGACUGAGACACGGCCCAGACUCCUACGGGAGGCAGCAGUGGGGAAUUUUGGACAAUGGGGGCAACCCUGAUCCAGCCAUGCCGCGUGCGGGAAGAAGGCCUUCGGGUUGUAAACCGCUUUUGGUCGGGAAGAAAAGGUUAUCCCUAAUAAGGAUGACUCUUGACGGUACCGGCAGAAUAAGCACCGGCUAACUACGUGCCAGCAGCCGCGGUAAUACGUAGGGUGCGAGCGUUAAUCGGAAUUACUGGGCGUAAAGCGUGCGCAGGCGGUUUGUUAAGUCUGAUGUGAAAGCCCCGGGCUCAACCUGGGAACUGCAUUGGAAACUGGCAAGCUCGAGUAUGGCAGAGGGGGGUGGAAUUCCGCGUGUAGCAGUGAAAUGCGUAGAGAUGCGGAGGAACACCGAUGGCGAAGGCAGCCCCCUGGGCCAAUACUGACGCUCAGGCACGAAAGCGUGGGGAGCAAACAGGAUUAGAUACCCUAGUAGUCC